ACUCCUACGGGAGGCAGCAGUGCUGAAUCAUUCGCCAAUGCGGGAAACCGUGACGGUGCGACGCCGCGUGAAGGACGAAGGCCCUCGGGUUGUAAACUUCUGUCAGUACCUAGAAAACCAUAGAGGUUAAUAGUCUCUAUGCUGAUCAGGUUCAAAGGAAGCACUGGCUAAACUCGUGCCAGCAGCCGCGGUAAGACGAGUGGUGCAAGCGUUGUUCGGAAUCACUGGGCAUAAAGGGUGCGUAGGCGGCCCUGUAAGUCAGUUGCGAAAUCCCACGGCCCAACCGUGGCAUUGCAAUUGAAACUGCAGGGCUUGAGGUCGAAAGAGGCAAGUGGAAUUUCAGGUGUAGCGGUGGAAUGCGUAGAUAUCUGAGAGAACGCCAAAGGCGAAGGCAGCUUGCUGGGUCGAAUCUGACGCUGAGGCACGAAAGCUAGGGGAGCGAACAGGAUUAGAUACCCUGGUAGUCCUAGCCGUAAACGAUGGACACUUGAUUUUGGGGGCCCUGAUGCCUUCGGAAUCGAAGCUAAUGUGAUAAGUGUCCCACCUGGGGAGUAUGGUCGCAAGGCUAAAACUCAAAGGGAUUGACGGGGGCUCACACAAGCGGUGAAGCAUGUUGUUUAAUUCGAAGCAACGCGAAGAACCUUACCAGGGCUUGACAUGCAGGAAGUAGAACCCCGAAAAGGGAACCACCGGUAUCCAAUCCGGAACCUGCACAGGUGCUGCAUGGCUGUCGUCAGCUCGUGUCGUGAGACGUUGGGUUAAGUCCCGUAACGAGCGAAACCCUUAUCGUCUGUUGCUACCGGGUCAUGCCGGGC
rnacentral:rRNA from 1 species